UGCAUCAUGAUGGUAUGAACGACUCCGCAAAUGCUAUAUCAGCGACGGCAUGGAUGUUUGGUCUAACAGGUUUGGGCACUGUCGAGCAGGAUUUCUUCACCGCGCUAAGUGUGUUUCAACGUUGCCCGAAAAGCUCUUGCCCGGCUCACUGCACUUCGGAAUGUCCAGCAAAAUGAGCUGAAUGAAGAUACCUGGAUGAAGUUCCAACUAUCAAAUUA